rnacentral:rRNA from 1 species
AACGAACGCUGGCGGCAUGCCUAACACAUGCAAGUCGAACGAGACCUUCGUGCCGAGUGGCGCACGGGGGCGUAAGGCGAGGGAACCUUCCCUUAGGUUCGGAAUAACUCGCCGUAAGAGGUGCUAAUACCGGAUAAUGUCGUCGGUCACACGAUUUAUCGUCUUGGGAUGGGGCCGCGUUGGAUGAGCUAGUUGGUAGGGUAGAAGCCUACCAAGGCGACGAGCCAUAGCUGGUGUGAGAGGGUGAACAGCCACACUGGGACUGAGACACGACCCAGACUCGUGCGGGAGGCAGCAGUGGGGAAUAAAGGACAGUAGGCGUGAGGCUGAUCCACCGAGGCCGCGUGGAUGAUGUAGGCGUUGUGAUUGUAAAUCACUAGUGACCAGGCUGAUAGUGACGGUACCGAGAGAAUAAGCACCGGCUAACUACGUG